UACGUAUGGUGCAAGCGUUAUCCGGAUUACUGGGUGUAAAGGGAGCGUAGGCGGCGCGUUAAGUCUGAUGUGAAAACCCGAGGCUCAACCACGGGAGUGCAUUGGAAACUGGCGUGCUGGAGUGCCGGAGAGGUAAGCGGAAUUCCUAGUGUAGCGGUGAAAUGCGUAGAUAUUAGGAGGAACACCAGUGGCGAAGGCGGCUUACUGGACGGCAACUGACGCUGAGGCUCGAAAGCGUGGGGAGCAAACAGG
rnacentral:rRNA from 1 species